rnacentral:lncRNA from 1 species
GGUAUCACUCUAAUCCUUUUUAAACAAUUUUAUUUUUAAUAUUUAAAAUUGACAAAUUAAACCAUGUGUAUAUAUAUAUGUAUGUAUAGUAUACAACAUGAUGUUUUAAUACAGUAUAUAUGUGUGUAUAUAGCUAAUAUAUUAGCUAUUUAGUAAAUAAAAUGAGCUAAGAAGAAAGACACUGAUCUUUUUUCCUUACUUUAGAUGAAUCCUUUAAUAUCUCUGGGUCUUGCUUUCUUAUACAUAAGAAAACUUUAAUGAAUCUUGAAAUUUAUUUUAAAACUAAAUAGUUUAUAUCCUUUCCAUAAACUAAUAUAACAUAUAUUUAACUACCUUUAUAAAUCAGUAUCUAUACUGCUAACAAGAAACUGCAUUUAAGUACCAGAAGAGCCCUUGUUAUAUGGAUAGCUUACUCAGUAAUAAUUCAGAAAACUUUUAGCAACAUAAAAAGGCAACAAAAGCAGCAUACCUCAUUGCAUGUGCUAGCAUUAUUGAGAGCUUCAUGUAUAUUAAUUCUUUCAACUCUUAUAAUCUAUUUAUUUUUGCUUUGUGUGUAUUAGGUCUUAACAAAGUCUUAAAGAUCAAAUACUGAAUGAUAACACAUGUAGUAAAGCGAAAAGACUGAGGGGCAGAAUGACUUAAUAUCUUGCACGGGACUGCAUGGAGGAUGAUUUUUCUUUGAAUCCAGCAACCAUUCUGAGAGGAAAGUUAAAACAGUCCAUGCAGAAAGGCCACAUGAAAUGGCUAGAUGUGGUUGCAAGGGAUGACAAUUUAGCUGAGGUUCCAGCUGCCAGCAUACAUCAAGUUUCAGAUAUGAGAUUGAAGAUGUCUCCAGACUAUUUGAGUUCCAUGUUGUUGAGUCACAUCAUGGAGCAGAGAAAGAUUACGCCAUCUGUCCAAAUUCCUGAUUUAAAAAAAACUCAUGGCAAUAAUAAAAUUUUAAUAAAUACUACCAGAUUUACUGUGGUUUGUUACAUAUAAUAGUAACUGAAAGGUCAAAUAAAGUAUACAAAGCAUGUUAUAUUUUAGAUACAUUACCGAUAACAGUGAUGUGACUGUAUGCAAAAACUGGGUUAUUCCAAAUUGCCUCUGGGCUGUCAGUCUGAGUUGUCUGGAUAAUGUUAAUUGAGUCAAAAAUGCC